rnacentral:misc_RNA from 1 species
AGCAGCCGCGGUAAUUCCAGCUCCAAUAGCGUAUAUUAAAGUUGUUGCAGUUAAAAAGCUCGUAGUUGAAUUUCGAGAUCAAAUUGUUGGUCGUGCCUUGGUACGCACUGGCAUUAUUGGUUUCUCCCUUCUGACGAACCAUGAUGUCAUUAAUUUGGUGUCUUGGGGAAUCAGGACUGUUACUUUGAAAAAAUUAGAGUGUUUAAAGCAGGCUCACGCUUGAAUACAUUAGCAUGGAAUAAUGAAAUAGGACGUUUGAUUCUAUUUUGUUGGUUUCUAGGAUCGACGUAAUGAUUAAUAGGGAUAGUUGGGGGCAUUAGUAUUCAAUUGUCAGAGGUGAAAUUCUUGGAUUUAUUGAAGACUAACUACUGCGAAAGCAUUUGCCAAGGAUGUUUUCAUUAAUCAAGAACGAAAGUUAGGGGAUCGAAGACGAUCAGAUACCGUCGUAGUCUUAACCAUAAACUAUGCCGACUAGGGAUCGGAUGAUGUUAAUUUUUU